AAAGAAAGAUUGAGGCAUGCCUAACACAUGCAAGUCGAACGAGACCUUCGGGUCUAGUGGCGCACGGGUGCGUAACGCGUGGGAACCUGCCCUUAGGUUCGGAAUAACUCCCCGAAAGGGGUGCUAAUACCGGAUAAUGUCUUCGGACCAAAGAUUUAUCGCCUUUGGAUGGGCCCGCGUUGGAUUAGCUAGUUGGUAGGGUAAAAGCCUACCAAGGCGACGAUCCAUAGCUGGUCUGAGAGGAUGAUCAGCCACACUGGGACUGAGACACGGCCCAGACUCCUACGGGAGGCAGCAGUGGGGAAUAUUGGACAAUGGGCGAAAGCCUGAUCCAGCAAUGCCGCGUGAGUGAUGAAGGCCUUAGGGUUGUAAAGCUCUUUUACCCGGGAUGAUAAUGACAGUACCGGGAGAAUAAGCUCCGGCUAACUCCGUG
rnacentral:rRNA from 1 species